UACAGAGGGGGCAAGCGUUGUUCGGAAUUACUGGGCGUAAAGGGCGCGUAGGCGGCCUGUUAAGUCGAACGUGAAAUCCCCGGGCUCAACCCGGGAACUGCGUCCGAUACUGGCAGGCUUGAAUCCGGGAGAGGGAUGCGGAAUUCCAGGUGUAGCGGUGAAAUGCGUAGAUAUCGGGAGGAACACCAGUAGCGAAGGCGGCUCGCUGGGCCAUUCCUGACGCUGAGACGCGAAAGCUAGGGGAGCGAACAGG
rnacentral:rRNA from 1 species